rnacentral:tRNA from 1 species
CAUUAGAUGGCUGAAAACAAGCUCUGGUCUCUUAAACCAUUUCAUAGUAAAUUAGUACUUACUUCUAAUGA